CCUACGGGAGGCAGCAGUGGGGAAUUUUGGACAAUGGGCGCAAGCCUGAUCCAGCCAUGCCGCGUGUGGGAAGAAGGCCUUCGGGUUGUAAACCACUUUUGUCAGGGAAGAAACGGCUCUUACUAAUAUUAGGGGCUAAUGACGGUACCUGAAGAAUAAGCACCGGCUAACUACGUGCCAGCAGCCGCGGUAAUACGUAGGGUGCAAGCGUUAAUCGGAAUUACUGGGCGUAAAGCGUGCGCAGGCGGCUUUGCAAGACAGAUGUGAAAUCCCCGGGCUCAACCUGGGAACUGCAUUUGUGACUGCAUGGCUAGAGUACGGUAGAGGGGGAUGGAAUUCCGCGUGUAGCAGUGAAAUGCGUAGAUAUGCGGAGGAACACCGAUGGCGAAGGCAAUCCCCUGGACCUGUACUGACGCUCAUGCACGAAAGCGUGGGGAGCAAACAGGAUUAGAUACCCUGGUAGUCCACGCCCUAAACGAUGUCAACUGGUUGUUGGACGGCUUGCUGUUCAGUACGAAGCUAACGCGUGAAGUUGACCGCCUGGGGGAGGUACGGCCGCGAGUAGUAACGUAAGUAGAGUAGACGGCGUGAGACGUGCCGACGACGACGACGAGGGAGGAGG
rnacentral:rRNA from 1 species